UUUGAAGAGGAAACUCGAAAUGAAAACACUGGUUGUUUUUGCCUUUCUUUUGGCUGUCUGCUACUCCACUUUUCUUUAUCCAUCGUACCAUUAUACGUAUGGUGUCCCUGCAGCGUAUGUUUCUAAGUACGAAGUGAAGUAUCCUUCUUAUCGAUACGUCGUACCUUCUUAUCUAUCAACUUAUCCUUAUUACCAUCAUUAUUAUUAUCCGAGAUAUGUUUACCUGAAGGAAAAGAAACCUGAGGAGAAAGUGGAAAAAAAGAAAUCUGAUUAAUACGAUUAUUUUGGAUAGUUUAUCAUCGACUUUGAUUUUUCAAUGUUUCUAACCGGAAUAAUACUUUUUUUUUUUAAUCUUUAAAACUGUAUCUUUGCUUUAGCA
rnacentral:lncRNA from 1 species